UUUCCAAAAAGAAGACAGAUAAUUAUAAAUAGAUUAUAAAAGUUCAAUAAUUGAGAAGUUUUGGAAACCUUUAAAAACUUAAUCUUCCUAAAAAAAACACCUUACAAACGAGACACCCAUGUAACCAUUGUUUUAAAAAAAUCAUCCUUAAGUUGUUUGUUCACACUUCAUUCAAUUUUAAAAAUAUGGACAUAACCGUAUAGAGGAGUAAGAGAAAUUCAUGGGCCAUGGCAUGAAAAGGAUAGCCAAGUAAACAAGACAACACAAAUAGAUCUCAUCUCCAACAUAGCCAUUUCAGAAUAGUUCACCGUCUAAGGAUGAUCAUAUAGAGGAAAACAAAAGAAGAAAACCAGCGGCUGCUUCUUCAAUAACAAGAGCAGCAAGAAUAACUUAGGCAAUCAUCACGAGCAACAACUACUAGCUGGAACGUCCUGUGGAGGUUUCUGUUUGAAGAUGUUCUUUGUCACACUGCUUGAACCUUCGGCCAACAGACUUGGUGUUUCUAAAAUCUUUAAAACAAGCUCCUCAAAGCAUUGUUCCACGUUGACUCUAGUUUUUGCACUACAUUCAAGAAACAGGCAUCCAUAGUCCCUGGCAAAGUCAAGCCCCUCCUUUUUGGUGACAACCCUUUCACUUUCCUGAGCAGGAUAUCCAUAGAUGUGGAUCAAUCCAUUGUGAUAUAAGAACAUUUUGAUGCAGUUGAUCUAAUAAGACCAUAAGACAACAAACUAUGAAAAAACUAUUAAAAAAUAUAUCAGAAACUAGAGAGAGAUUGCAAUUCUGAAAAGGUACUAAUUUGUCCCUAUCUAGCCAACAAAAAUGGCAUUGAAUUUACUAAAUUCCCAUCACAUUCUACAUAAAAUAAAAUUAUUUAUAUGAAUGGUUUUAGUUUUGGAAGAAAUGUACCUUAUCAACUUUAUUGCCGACAAGCAUCUUGAUGCAAUCCUGGUUUGUUGAAUAUAGAUCAAUUUCUUUAGCCCAUAUUUCAGAUAGAUUUGUGAAUGUUUCUCGUCUUGUUACAUCAUAUACUUUGCCAAUUCCCAAAAGAAGAAUCUUGAAGUUAGAGAAAAAUAAGUACUACAAAAACAACUACUUAGACGAUUCCAAAAAUUUGUUAUAUAGUUUUAACGCAGCUACAGGUAAAUUAUUUACAAUUCAACACAACUGUACCCCUAAAAUCUAACAAAAUUAAUUAUUCAUGAAAUUGAAGUGAAUCUAAUCUAUACAAAGAUGCUAAUUCCCUGGCGAGAAGAUGCAUGUCCAUGGUGUAAAAAACUAAUUUAUGCAAUUACUGUCACCUCCACUUGCAAAUAUGGAGAAGCUGCAAAAUGAAAUCUGUAUAAUCAAUAAUGCAGAACUUUUAGCACCAUUCAAGAUGGAUUGGAGUAUUUAAUUAUUCCUUCCAUAGAAACAUGAGAACAGAUACAUAAUAGUUGGCUAAGGACAAGGUAACAACAUGAGGAAGAGGAAAAUUAGAUGAAACCAUGUACCCAUUAUCAUCCCCUGAGCUCCUCUGUAGUAAGAACUAGUAAGCGUUCUAAAUCUCUCCUGUCCAGCUGCAAAAUGAAACUAUUCAUAAAAUUAACUUUUACUAACCAAAGCAUGGCAAUGGUAACAGCUAAACCAUACUCUCAUAACAGAUAAACAAUUCACAUUAUUGAGAAAAGAAGUACAUUCUUUUAGUAAAGAAAACACUAUCUAUGGUCAAAAUAUUGGAAGCCUCAUUUCUCUCCUUAUGAUCUGGCAUCUUUGAAUGAUCAAGACUAAGCUGUAAAGCUCUUCUAUUAAUUCAUCCUUCUUAGUGGAGAAACAUUUCAAACAAAUGAGAAACUGCUACUUCCUAAUCCACAAUUUAGGUGGAUCGUGACAUAUCAAUAAUUGGAAAAAUCACAUCUUUAGGUUACAGCAUCAUAUUAACAGCAUAUAAACCUAUUGCAGUUCCACUAUGAUUGUCCCAUGACAAACAUAAGAUUAUUUAUAAACUAGAGACAUAUAAACAAGAUUUAAUAAAUAUAUCUGGAAAUAAAUCAUUAAGGAACAAGGUAAUACCUGUGUCCCAAAUUGCAAGUUUCAACUUUUUCCCACCUAUGGUAACAUGUUUUACCUUAAAAUCCACCC
rnacentral:misc_RNA from 1 species